CAGCCGCCGGGUAAUACCAACCCCGCGAGUGGUCGGGACGUUUAUUGGGCCUAAAGCGUCCGUAGCCGGCCCGGUAAGUCCCUCCUUAAAGCCCACGGCUCAACCGUGGGAGCGGAGGGAUACUGCCGGGCUAGGGGGCGGGAGAGGCCGGGGGUACUCCUGGGGUAGGGGCGAAAUCCUAUAAUCCCAGGAGGACCACCAGUAGCGAAGGCGCCCGGCUAGCACGCGCCCGACGGUGAGGGACGAAAGCUGGGGGAGCAAAGGGGAUUAGAUACCCCCGUAGUCCCAGCUGUAAACGAUGCAGGCUAGGUGUUAGGCGGGCUUCGUGCCCGCCUAGUGCCGUAGGGAAGCCGUUAAGCCUGCCGCCUGGGGAGUACGGCCGCAAGGCUGAAACUUAAAGGAAUUGGCGGG
rnacentral:rRNA from 1 species